rnacentral:rRNA from 1 species
GAUGAACGCUGGCGGCGUGCUUAACACAUGCAAGUCGAACGGAAAGGCCCAAGCUUGCUUGGGUACUCGAGUGGCGAACGGGUGAGUAACACGUGGGUGAUCUGCCCUGCACUUCGGGAUAAGCCUGGGAAACUGGGUCUAAUACCGGAUAGGACCACUUCUUGGAUGUUGUGGUGGAAAGUUUUUUCGGUGUGGGAUGAGCUCGCGGCCUAUCAGCUUGUUGGGGGGGUAAUGGCCUACCAAGGCGUCGACGGGUAGCCGGCCUGAGAGGGUGUACGGGCAAAAUGGGACUGAGAUACGGCCCAGACUCCCACGGGAGGCAGCAGUGGGGAAUAUUGCACAAUGGGCGCAAGCCUGAUGCAGCGAAGCCGCGUGGGGGAUGACGGGCUUCGGGUUGUAAAAUCCUUUCGCUAGGGACGAAGCGUUUUGUGACGGUACCUGGAGAAGAAGCACCGGCUAACUACGUG